rnacentral:misc_RNA from 1 species
GAUGAAGAACGUAGCGAAAUGCGAUAAGUAAUGUGAAUUGCAGAAUUCAGUGAAUCAUCGAAUCUUUGAACGCACAUUGCGCCCGCCAGUAUUCUGGCGGGCAUGCCUGUUCGAGCGUCAUUUCAACCCUCAAUCCCCAGUGGCCUGGUGUUGGGGACCGGCGACCUCGCCCGAGCCCGCCCUCCGGGGCGCGUGCCCGGUGCGUCCGCCGCCCCCGAAAUGAAUUGGCGGCCUCGUCGCGGCCUCCUCUGCGUAGUAGCACAACCUCGCAAGCGGGAGCGCGACGCGGCCACUGCCGUAAAACGCCCAACUUUUUUAGAGUUGACCUCGGAUCAGGUAGGAAUACCCGCUGAACUUAAGCAUAUCAAUAAGCGGAGGA